GCAGAUGCCUGUAGCUUAGCUGCACCUGUGCAGAGUGCCAAUCGCAGCCUCACGACCCCCAGGCAUCAGGCUGCCUGGAUGUUUUACUCCGUAACUAUCUGGAGCCUUUCCCUCCCAGGAGAACCUGGUCUCUCUCCUCACUUGGCUGCACUACACUAAGACCCCACCAGGUGGAAGGUGUUAACUGCGUGCUGACCAUCAGCCAGUAGAGCCCAGACCAGCUGGAACCCAGAGCUGAUGACUGAGAUUCUCAAAUCAUCCCGUCAGCUCAUCAUCAACCAGAAAAAAAUCAUCCGUGGAGGAAUCCCUCAGCCAUCCCGCACCACUGAGUGGUAAACUGGGAACCUCCCUGUGAAACCAAGGCUCACUGGUAGCCCUACCUGGAACGGCAGUGUAAUCUCCAUGUUGCUGCAAAUGGCUUUGUUCUGGUUGAGCCGUAUUGUGUGUAAAUGCACCACACCUUUAUCCAGGUCAGUGGACAUUUAGGUCGUUUCCAUGUCUUGGCUAUUGCAAAUAGUGCUGCUGUGAACACAGGGGUGCGUGCAUUUUUUUUUUUUUUUUUUUGGAUUACUGGUUUCUCCAGAGA
rnacentral:lncRNA from 1 species